UUGACCAAUGGGAAGCGCCCGUACAGUCUCGGAGCCAAUGGAGCCUCCUCUCUUAUCGCGAAGUCCCUUCCAACAACGCCCUGUUUCCUCUCUGGGGUUUCCUCCUUCCCUGGCGGAGGAGGAGGAAAGAGGAAAGGGGGAGUGAGGCAGGGCGGGUGAUAAUGGGGAGGUAUCAGGGCAUAUAAUGGAGCUGGGGGUAGGCGAAGGAGCGGCAGUACGUAGCGAAGAUUCUAGGAGAGGAGGUGCUCGUUAGAAAGGGCGGGGGCUGCUGAUGUAAUUGGGAGAAGUGAUUAAUCCUGCAUUUUGCCGUUUCAGCCUCCCUCCACCCCAACCCUCACCUGGUUUUCUUAAAUGGAACAAGGAGUGAGGGACUCAAUCUUCGGUAACUCCGGAUUUCUGUGUUCGGUAGGUUCAAACUUUCAGCUGUAGGGAGCGCUACAGGCUCUGUGCCCUUUAGUCCAGCUGAGGAUAUUUGCAAACCUUAAGACAUCUGCUUUGACUCAGCUUAGAACUUCAGAGGCUGGAGUCGGUUCUAGCUUUUGUCACCCAAACUUUCAGGAUGUUUUAGCUCUUUUACCAGUUAGUUUGCUUUCGUUUUUGGAAAAGUGGUCUGCAUGAUGUUCCGGAAGAAAUAAAACAAAAUGGAUGGAGACUGUGAUUGACUGUUGUUGUUUUUUAGGUCCCACGAAGUCAAGAAAGAUAAACCCCCAAGAGGAAUUCUCUUUUGUAUCUGUACCUGGUCCCCUUAGCAUAAUCUCUCCCCGAGGAGAAUGUGUUUCUCUCCCCAGGCCGCCGUUGUGAAGACUGAAAAUACACUCCGCUCCCCAUCCAUUACUGCUGGCUACUGUACCUCUGGAGCCUCUCACUGUCGGAGCUUUCGGGCUGGGGGCUGGGCCAAGGUAACUCUACCUGGCUUAGAACUCGCUAUGCAGACCAGACCUGACUUCUCAGAUACCUGCUUGAUUCAUAGAUAACUGCCUGCCUGUGCCUCCGGGGGCUGAGAUUAAAGGAUGCUGAGAUGCCAGGACUGUGGGACAUCGGCCAAGGAACGCUGGAAGCUGAGCUGAGCAGCCGUGAAGGGCCACUCGUGUGGAGGCAGCAGAUCUGGAGGGGGGCACGCAGCUAAGAGAUUACCUUGAAUGUCAGAAGAGACUUGAAUUUUAGAUUGUUAAAGUUUUGGGACUGUUAAGAGGAAUGGGAGUCUCCUCUCUCUCUCUCAUAUACGCACACGAUAAAGAAAUAAAUAAAACGUAAUUAAAUGUUUAAAAAGAUUAUGCAGGAACUUAAAACAUUGGAACAAAUGUAUUUGCAUUAUGAGAUGACUUAAGCCCGUGGGGGAGGGGAGGGGAAUGUAUCUCCCAGGCUCAGGUGCCUAAACAUUUGUUUCUCAAACAGUGGCGGUGUCGUUUCAAAAGGUUAUGGAACUGUUAGGAGAUGGAGCCUCUUUGUAGGAAAUGGAUUAAUGGGUUUGGGUCUCGCUUAUAAUGCUGUCUCUCUGCCCCUUUCUGCUUCCUGUCUGCAGACUGCAGUGAGCAAUGUGACUUCCUUACACCUAGCAGGCCUCCACAGACUGUUUGGCUGUUUCCCUGUCUUAGUCAGUGUUUCUGUUGCUGUGGUGAAACACUGUGUCCAAGAGCAACUCGGGAAGGAAAGGGUUUAUUUGGUUUAUACUUCCAUGUUGCUGUUUAUUAUUGAAAAAAGUCAGAGCAGGAACUCAACUAGAGUAAGAAUCCUGAGGCAGGAGCUGAUGGAGAGGCCGAGAAGGGUGCUUCUCCUGGGCUUGCUCUUCCUUCCUUGUUCAGCUUGCUUUCUUAUAGAACCAGGACCACCCGCCCAGAGAUGGCACCACCCA